GACGAACGCUGGCGGCGUGCUUAACACAUGCAAGUCGAACGGAAAGGCCCCUUUGGGGGUACUCGAGUGGCGAACGGGUGAGUAACACGUGAGUAACCUGCCCUUGACUUCGGGAUAACUUCAGGAAACUGGGGCUAAUACCGGCUAGGAAUCCUUGCUGCAUGGUGGGGGUUGGAAAGCUUCGGCGGUUUUGGAUGGACUCGCGGCUUAUCAGCUUGUUGGUGGGGUAGUGGCUUACCAAGGCUUUGACGGGUAGCCGGCCUGAGAGGGCGACCGGCCAAAUUGGGACUGGGGUACGGCCCAGACUCCUACGGGGGGCAGCAGUGGGGAAUAUUGCACAAUGGGCGGAAGCCUGAUGCAGCAACGCCGCGUGCGGGAUGACGGCCUUCGGGUUGUAAACCGCUUUCAGCAGGGGCGAAGCUUGUGGUGACGGUACCUGCAGAAGAAGCACCGGCUAACUACGUG
rnacentral:rRNA from 1 species